rnacentral:rRNA from 1 species
CUCUGACACUAGUACGAGAGGACCGUGUUGGACUGACCUCUGGUUUACCGGUUGUGCCGCCAGGUGCAUUGCCGGGUAUCUAAGUCGGGAUCGGAUAAGCGCUGAAAGCAUCUAAGUGCGAAGCCGGCCACAAGAUUAGAUUUCUCAGGGUCGUUGUAGACGACAACGUUGAUAGGACGCAGGUGUAAAGGUGGUGACAUCAAAGCCGAGCGUUACUAAUUGCCCGUAAGCUUUUUGUU